UGCAUCCAGGAGAUUGAGAAGUCUGGAGGCUCCAAGGAGGCCACCACCACGCUGCACAUGCUGACGCUGCUGAAGGACCUGCUGCCCUGCUUCCCGGAAGGCCUGGUGAAGAGCUGCAGUGAGACUCUCCUCAGGGUCAUGACCUUGAGCCAUGUGGUGAGCUCAGGCCCAAAAGCUGGAGAAAGGGGGACCUGCAGUGGUGGCAUUUGGGGAACUCACUGGUCAGUCAAAAUGCAGGGCCUGGGGUCUCCCUCCCUGACUGUGUUCUUAAGCUAAAACCAACAGCACUACGUUACUCUGUGGUGUUUGGCUAGGCCAGGCCAUAUCAGAGUCCCCUUCCAGAUGGAAGCUGACCUCAGAGAUCAGGUCAGAGUCAGGGUGGAUCUGUAGUGGGCUGGUAAACCCUCCUUC
rnacentral:lncRNA from 1 species